ensembl:misc_RNA 7SK 7SK RNA
GGGUGAGAGUGUGACCUGGCUGUGACACGUCACCCCAUUGGUUUCCACUGUUGAUUCUGCUGAUCUGGAUGGUGAGGUGGGUGUCCCCUUUCUCCCUCACCACUUCAUGUGCGUCCCUCCCAAAGUCGUGCACUUGGCCAAAGAGGACAACUUUCCCGGGAUGGGGGAGGACCAGUCUUCAGUCAAGGGUAUAGAGUAGCUGUGCUCCCCUCAAGAACCUCCAAACAAGCUCUCAAGGUCCAUCAGGUCAAACUCUAAGUGCAACACGGAGGACAGAUUUCUCAGGCAAAGUAAAUUGUUUCUAAGAGACUUUAAAUUU